rnacentral:lncRNA from 1 species
GGAAGGAUCAUUAUUGUAUGUUUCUACCGUUAACAAAAAUAUAUAUUGCCAACUUACCAAACAAAAAAUGUUUUUAUAAAAUCAUAAUUGUAAAAUAAAUAUAUUCAGUUGUACAUCUUGUAUGUAUUUUUUAAUGAGUUGUCAAUAUACUGAUAUAGUUAGUAUCUUGGAUGCAGUAACACUUGGAUAUAUGUGUGUAGCAUUUAAUAUUAAAAUUACAUAUUGAUGAUAUAUUACAAUAUAUUGAUUUAUAAAAUCUGUGUGCAUAUGGACCAUAAUAUGCACGCGUUGCGCAUAUGUAUUGUCCAUCACAGAUAUGGGCAUACAUUGGUUAAUGCAACAGCCUAAAAAGUACAAUGUUGUACCUGUGUUCAGGUUAAUACUUUUAUAUAAAUUGAUAUUUACCGAAAAUUGUCAAAUUAUUUGUAUUCAUAAAUAUGGUAAUAUAUCGUUUAUAUAAAACUAAGACAUUUCGCAACAUUCUUUUAGGAUAAAAAUAAAAUUUUAUUGAAGGAAUUGAUAUAUGCCAGUAAAAUGGUGUAUUUUUAAUUUCUUUCAAUAAAAACAUAUCUGACAAAUGUAAUAACAAACAAAUUUUAAUCACUCUAAGCGGUGGAUCACUCGGCUCAUGGGUCGAUGAAGAACGCAGCAAACUGUGCGUCAUCGUGUGAACUGCAGGACACAUGAACAUCGACAUUUUGAACGCAUAUCGCAGUCCAUGCUGUUAUGUACUUUAAUUAAUUUUAUAGUGCUGCUUGGACUACAUAUGGUUGAGGGUUGUAAGACUAUGCUAAAUAAGUUGUUUGAA